CAGGCACACUCAUCAGUCAACCGAUAUGCUUGAAUGAGAAUACUGUAUCGACUACCGAGGUGGCUGGCAUGACGAAAACAAAAAGACGGGUUACAAGGUCUCAGGUGUGAAUGGGGAGCAGGUUUGGUGUCACUCCCUCCUACUGGUCACUGGAAGUUCAACAUGGCACCUCAUGGCAAAGAACUCUCUGAGGAUCUGAAAAAAGAAUUGUUGCUCUACAUAAAGAUGACCUAGGCUAUAAGAAGAUUGCCAAGACCCUGACACAGAGCUGCAGCAUGGUGACCAAGACCAUACAGCGGUUUAACAGGACAGGUUCCACUCAGAACAGUCCUCGCCAUGGUCGACCAAAGAAGUUGAGUGCACAUGAUCAUGACGGCGGAAGGAGACCUGAAAAUGCCAGCACCAGGCCUUCAUGGAGGUACGCCUGGAGCAGGAACAAGGCUUCCAACUCCUGCUACAGGCACAAGCAGAGGACUGGCAUGUGCUCCAGAGCCUGAUCGCCAGGGAGGGGCCUUGCGCUGUGACCUACCAGGAGCCUACACCACCGGUGAUCCUAAUGAAGAUGGGGCCAAACGAUUAUCCGGAGGCCUUCCUAGACCUGUUCGAGAAGACAGCAGAGAUAUGAAUCGAUCGGUUGGCCGUGGCUCAAUUUUACUCAAUGCUGGACUUAACAAAGGGUUAUUGGCAGAUUCCUUUAACCCCAAUAUCCCGAGAAAAAAAUGCUUUUUCCACACCGUUCGAAUUACACGAAUUUGUGAUGCUUCCGUUCAGUUUGUUCAGAGCCCCAACCACGUUUCAGCGCCUUAUGGACAAGACCCUCAGACCACACAUGGCAUAUGCCGUCGCAUAUCUGGAUGAUAUUAUAAUUUAUAGUGAUGACUGGCAGCGGCAUAUGCGACAUCUGUGGUCUGUCCUGAAAGCGUUGCAACAGGCAGGACUCACGGCCAACCUGAAAAAGUGUGCAAUUGGGUGGGUGGAAGUUAGAUAUCUGGGGUUCCACUUUGGUCAUGGGCAGGUGCGUCCACAGGUUAAGAAAACCACAGCAAUCGCAGGCUGCCCUGCGCCCAAGACAAUAAAAGGGGCAAGGCAGUUUUGUAGGGAUGGCUGGCUACUACCGAAGGUUUGUGCCUAGCUACUCAGAUGUCACAAGCCCACUGACUGACCUUACUAAAAAGGGGGCACCCAAUCCGGUCCAAUGGACAGAGUCGUGCCAACUGACUUUCCAAAAGAUAAAGUCUGCACUGUGUGGGGGCUGCUUUUACAUGCACCUGACUUCUCUCUCCCCUUUAUUUUGUAGGCUGAAGCAUCUGACAGGGGUCUGGGAAUGGUACUCUUGCAGGAGUUGGGAGGGGAGGAACGGACAGUGCUAUUUAUUUGUCGCAAGCUCUCCUUCAGGGAGACAAAGUAUAGUACCAUCUAGAAGGAGUGUCUUGCGAUUAAAUAGUUUUUUUUAAAUAAAUCUAAAUUAAAUUGAAUUGAAAAAUUAAAAACUAAGUAAAAAUUAAAAACUAAUUUAAAAUGUAAAACAUAAUAGCCUUGUUUGUAAUGACUAACACAGCUUUCACUUUCUUUAGUCUAUGUUAAAUACAAAAGAAAAUGCAAAAUAUUUACUGUUGAGAAUAAAUCACAUGCUUUUAUUUCAACAUAAUUGCUGAGACCAUUUUUUUACAUUUUGGACAGCAAAUUACUAUAGUUGAUAUAUCAAUAGUUUAUAUAUAUGUCCUAAAAGUUUAAAAAAUAAUCUAAUUAUGUUGAAGUUAAAGCAUGUUUUCCAAGGAUGGUGGAAAUACAGGUGUGGCAGCGGGGGCGUGGUCAAGCGCCCGUCCGGGAGAGAGAAGCGGUAAGGGCGCUCACACCUGGGCCAAAUUAUGUCUAACACCUGUCUCUAAUUGCAGUAGAGUGAGGAGAGCGGUUAAAAAUGCCAGCAGCCACAGAGGAGGGGAGAGAAACUGACAACGAACUCAGCGUUCGACUAGAUGGAAAUUGUGGAUACUAAAAGAUUGUGUGAACAUUGUGGGCACUAAAAAAAAAGGGGAAUUAAAAGACGCACCUUGCCUUGAAGUCUUGCUUCCUGUCGUCUUUGUUCUAUCAGCGUUACAACAGGUUUUGUGAGAUGUUCCAGGAAUACACUUUGUUGUUACAAUCUGAUGGAAAAAUACUUGUAUGCCACCAACUGCACUGGCUUAUAUGUACAGAAGCAAUGACUGUGCAGAAUACAAGUCACAUUCAUAAAACUUGAUUCUUUUCCAGAACGCUUAAGUGCAAAUUACUGUACUUAUUUUUUAUUGUAAUUUACAGCUUAUAAACAUAAAUGUUUUAACUUUUCACGUUUAAAAGUGUUGUAAAAAGACUUCAUAGGAAAUCAUAUGGAAACAACUUUUCAGGACUUUUCACACUUAAAAUUAUGUAAUCCUGGGUUAUCUUGUUUUGUGUUUUACAUUGUUCAUGCCUUGUAUAAACAAAGUAUGAACAGUGUGAAAUCUUUAUGGUUGCCUAAUGCCUACUUCAUAAUGCCAGUCAUAUCUCAGGAAGAAUACUGUCCAUGUAGCAACUCAGUUUGGCUACUUUUGCAGCCAAACUGAAGGAGCAGGUAAUUGUACGAGAAUGGUCUUGUAAUUCUGUGCAGUAAUA